UGGCGGCGAGUGGCGAACGGGUGAGUAAUGCAUCGGAACGUGCCCAUCGGAUGGGGAUAACUGGCGCGAAAGCGUUGCUAAUACCGCAUACGACCGUGAAGGGUGAAAGCGGGGGACCAAAGGCCUCGCGCAGCAGGAUGAGCCGAUGUCCGAGUUAGCUAGUUGGUGGGGUAAAGGCCUACCAAGGCGACGAUCGGUAGCUGGUCUGAGAGGAUGAUCAGCCACACUGGGACUGAGACACGGGCCCAGACUCCUACGGGAGGGCAGCAGUGGGGAAGUAUUCGGACAAUGGGGGCAACCCUGAUCCAGCAAUGCCGCGUGUGUGAAGAAGGCCUUCGGGUUGUAAAGCGACUUUUAUCGGGAACGAAACACCGUGGGUUAAUACCCCUGCGGGACUGACGGUACCCGAGGAAUAAGCCACCGGCUAACUCCGUG
rnacentral:rRNA from 1 species